rnacentral:lncRNA from 1 species
CCCGUGGGCCCCCACAGGAGUGGGGCCCCGGGACCUUCAGAGCCCCCCUCACCGCCCGCCCUGAGCGUUUCCGGUUUGUUCCACAGAUGCCCGGGCUGCGAGGCCGGAGCUGGAACUUGCGGAGCUCGUGUGACGAGAGCACCCGCCCGGGACGAGGAAGGGCUCACCGGAGGGACCGCCAGCAGGGACAUCGUGGAGGCCGCCGGAGGCCGACUGGGGCGGGAGGGGCAGGGGGCACCAUGCCCUCCGGAGCUGCAGGGACAUGGAGCCUCCCAGCCUCGCGGGCUCCCCCCGGC